rnacentral:rRNA from 1 species
CCGGUCUGAACUCAGAUCAAGUAGGAAUUUAAAAGUUGAACAAACUUCUUUUUUUAACAUCUUCAUUAAAAAAGUAUCCUAAUCCAACAUCGAGGUCGCAAACUAUUUUGUCUAUAUGUUCUAUCAAAAAUUAUUACGCUGUUAUCCCUAGAGUAUUUUUAUCAAAUUAUCAUUAAUAAUGGAUCAUUUUAUUAAAUAAAAAGUUUAUAAUCUUUUUUAGUUGCCCCAACUAAAAAAUAAUAAUUUUAAUAUUAAAAUUAUUAUUUUUAAAAUUCUUAGGGUCUUCUUGUCCUUAAUUUAAAUAAUUGUUUCUUCACAAAUUAAAAUAAAUUUAAUUUUUAAGUUUAAAAUAGUUUUUCCCUGAAAUUCCAUUCUCUUAGCAUUCAAUUAAAAUCUUAUUACAAUACCUUUGUAUAGUCAAAAUACCACAGCAAUUUAAAAAAUCAUUGAGCAG